rnacentral:rRNA from 1 species
GGCUCAGGAUGAACGCUAGCUACAGGCUUAACACAUGCAAGUCGAGGGGCAGCAUUACGGUAGCUUGCUAUUGUAGAUGGCGACCGGCGCACGGGUGAGUAACGCGUAUCCAACCUGCCCACCACUUGGGGAUAACCUUGCGAAAGUAAGACUAAUACCCAAUGAUAUCCCACGAAGGCAUCCGAAUGGGAUUAAAGAUUCAUCGGUGAUGGAUGGGGAUGCGUCUGAUUAGCUUGUUGGCGGGGUAACGGCCCACCAAGGCUACGAUCAGUAGGGGUUCUGAGAGGAAGGUCCCCCACAUUGGAACUGAGACACGGUCCAAACUCCUACGGGAGGCAGCAGUGAGGAAUAUUGGUCAAUGGGCGAGAGCCUGAACCAGCCAAGUAGCGUGCAGGAUGACGGCCCUAUGGGUUGUAAACUGCUUUUAUAAGGGAAUAAAGUGAGUCUCGUGAGACUUUUUGCAUGUACCUUAUGAAUAAGGACCGGCUAAUUCCGUG